rnacentral:hammerhead_ribozyme from 1 species
AUCAAGCUGACGAAUCCUAAAUAGGACGAAAUGCGCAUCCUGGAU